CUCAAGGAUAUGACCCAAGGGUAAAUAUGGAGAAGGCACAAAGCCAGCACCACAAGUGCAGUUUCCAUGGGAAAUGCAGGCAGGAUGACACACGACUGAUUUGCAUCAUUAGAGAUCCUUGCUGAUGGCUGAACUGCUUUGCAUAUAAAUGAGACCUAACCUGAACAGCUGUUCAACUGGUGGAUGUGAAGGAUUUACAGUUCUGGAUCAGGUCCCUGCUCACCACCAGUCUCCAAGGGAACUCUGCUCCGGACUGCUGGAAAACAGACCUCCGUUGCCUCCUUGGCCCUGCUCUUCCCACACCGCAGCACCCAGUCCUGGGCAAGAUUGAAGCUGGGAACCAAAAGCUGGCCAGCACAGAGCCCAAAACACACCAGGGCAUCCAUGAUACGAUCUCAGAAGAGCCUGUGCCAGCUUAUAAAUUGUCUGUGGAGUGGGAUCUGGCAGAAAGCAGCACAGCCUGCCUCCAUGGAGGUGACAGAGGUUUGGGACUGAAGCAGUGAGAGGUAAGGUUCACCCUGCACAUGCAUUACUGCCUGCACUCCUUCAUGCUACAGCUUAGUCAUGGCUG